UACGUAGGGGGCAAGCGUUGUCCGGAAUCAUUGGGCGUAAAGAGCGCGUAGGCGGCCCUGUAAGUCCGCUGUGAAAGUCAAGGGCUCAACCCUUGAAUGCCGGUGGAUACUGCAGGGCUAGAGUCCGGAAGAGGCGAGUGGAAUCCUGGUGUAGCGGUGAAAUGCGCAGAUAGUCAGGAGGAACACCGGUGGCGAAGGCGGGUCUCUGGGCAGUAACUGACGCUGAGGAGCGAAAGCGUGGGGAGCGAACAGG
rnacentral:rRNA from 1 species